rnacentral:rRNA from 1 species
AUAUUGCACAAUGGGCGCAAGCCUGAUGCAGCCAUGCCGCGUGUGUGAAGAAGGCCUUCGGGUUGUAAAGCACUUUCAGCGGGGAGGAAGGCGAUAAGGUUAAUAACCUUGGCGAUUGACGUUACCCGCAGAAGAAGCACCGGCUAACUCCGUGCCAGCAGCCGCGGUAAUACGGAGGGUGCAAGCGUUAAUCGGAAUUACUGGGCGUAAAGCGCACGCAGGC